rnacentral:rRNA from 1 species
UACGUAGGGUGCAAGCGUUAAUCGGAAUUACUGGGCGUAAAGCGUGCGCAGGCGGUUCUAUAGACAGAUGUGAAAUCCCCGGGCUCAACCUGGGAACUGCAUUUGUGACUGUAGAGCUGGAGUACGGUAGAGGGGGAUGGAAUUCCGCGUGUAGCAGUGAAAUGCGUAGAUAUGCGGAGGAACACCGAUGGCGAAGGCAAUCCCCUGGACCUGUACUGACGCUCAUGCACGAAAGCGUGGGGAGCAAACAGG